CUCAAAAGCUCAACAAGUCAUGCUUGGCUAGGAUGAGAGAGUCAAACAAAAUCAGUGCUACAGGAAAUAUUAGUGAUUCAGAUUCAAGUGCCCUGUAUGUUCAAAAUUUGUAUCUUCUGACGAAAUGGAUUUACAUCUUGUGAUGUGUUUGACAAAACCAAGGAUAACCUACAAUGGUAAGAAAGAAGGUUCCUGAGAUCAUACCCUGAAAGACCUU